GCAGCGGCGGCGCUGGGGAACCUGGUCUCAGAUUUGGCGGGUCUCGGUCUUGCAGGUUAUGUGGAGGCUCUGGCGUCCAAAUUUGGGAUGCAGGGUCCAGAUUUGACGCCCAAACAGGCGGACAUGUGGCAGACCAAGCUCAGCUCGCACAUGGGUAAAGCCAUCGGCGUCUCCAUCGGCUGUAUCUUGGGGAUGUUCCCGCUGCUUUUCCUGAGCGACGACGACGACGACGACGACGACGACGACGAGAAGGAGAAAGAAGCACAACCCUGCAGCGACGCGGCGUCACACUCCUCCUAACUGCAGCCGCACAACGCCGUCACGCCGUCACGCCGACACGCCGACACGCCGACAGGCCGGAUACUGCUGAUGUCAACUUAAAAAUAAGAACAAGUAUUUCAGCUGGAUGUUUCUCUGUCCUCAGGCAGCGUUCACACGUCCUCUCUGCAAACCCUCUGAGGCCGUUUGUAAAAACUCAAGAAAGUUCGCUCCGUCACAACUUCUGCUGCUGCACCGAGCUGUUUUCACACAGAAACACAAACCAUCUGCUGAGGCAAUAUCUCUCUUUGACUCACUCAGACGCACUCAGACUCAGAGUCACUCUGACUCACUCAGACUCAGACAC